GGAUGAAGCUGAUUAAUUUGGGAGAAAAAAAGAAAGCACUCAGAGUGAAAAUGAUGGUGAGGUAUGUAAGGAAUAAGGGGGAUCACAUAUGGAAGAUAUUCUUAAGAGAGGCACUGAAUGCAUGUGGUGGGUGUGGAGAAAGUGGUUUAUUUAUGGCAAUGAAGAAAGGUAUGUUGAGCGGGGUAUCUGAAUUUUACAAGGAGGUUUUGGGAGCCUGGGGGGAAUUCAUCCAGAAUGUGAAAUGUGAGUGUAAAAAUGUUAUACAGGUAUGGGAACAACCAUUGUUUCUGAACCUCAGCAUUACAGCAGUGGGCAGCACACUGUAUAACAGGACGAUGUGGAGAGCAGGAUUUAGGAAAAUUAAGGAUUUAGUUUACGAGUAUGUGCCGGGGUUCAUGGGGGCGCAAGUGGUGGUUGAUGAGGUGAGGGAAAGAGGGGAUGUGAUGUGGUUGGGCACAGCGGAGGGUAUGGUGGAAAAAAUAAAAGAGGGGAUGCCAAGUGAAUGGAGGAGGAUGAUUGAGAGUGAAGUGGAGGUGAAAGAAGAAGGUGAAAUUGGAAUGUAUGUGGGAGAGGAGGAUAGGAGAGUAGAUUUGAUGAGUGUAAGAGCGAGUGGGUUGUAUAAAAUAUUAAGAGGGACGGUGGUGAAGAGACCGGCUGCAGAGAAGGUGUGGGAAAGAGUGCUGCCUGAUAUGAAGGUGAAAAGAAUAUGGAUGAAUCUGCGGAUAAAAUGGAAUAGUAUUGAGUGUGAACAUUUUGACUUUUUAUUACGUCACAAUAGGGUGUUCAAUAAUUUAAUAAUAAGUAGAUUUGAUGUGAAUGUGAGAAAAGAAUGUGAUGUGUGUGGUGUGGAAACUGAAACAUGUAUGCAUGAGUUUAUAGAAUGUUGUGAACUGGGGGUGUACUUUGUGAGAAUAAAGGAGUUGAUUAGCAGAUGUUGGGGAGGGAAGUUUGUGGAGAGAAUGGAAUGGAAGGAGUUGUGGCUGUUUGGAGUGGGAGAGAAAGUGAAAGGAUGCAAUGUGGAUUUUUUAAAUUACACGUUGAGUCAUGCAAGGUUUGCAGUAAAACUUAGAAGAAACAUGGUCCAUUAUGAAAAGAAAAAUGUAGUGUAUGGAGUAUAUUUAGGAGCAUAAUGACAAGAGAUAUUAAUAUAGUCCAUGAGUAUGUCGGUGAGGAGGAGUUUGAUGCGGGGUUUGUGAAUGGGUGUACCUUUGUUACUAUUGGGGAUGAUGGAAGGAUGUUGUUAGAUUUUGGAUAACAAUGACGAUGUAUAGAGAUGAUGCGUACGGGUUCUGUCUGCUAUCAUUUGCUUUGAGAAAGUUAUGUUGAUGAUCUGUCGCUCAGUGAAAAGGUUUCUGUUUGAAUCAUUCUAUUUAUUAUUA
rnacentral:lncRNA from 1 species